rnacentral:rRNA from 1 species
GGUUUAAUUCGAAGCAACGCGAAGAACCUUACCAGGUCUUGACAUCCUCUGACAACUCUAGAGAUAGAGCGUUCCCCUUCGGGGGACAGGGUGGCAGGUGGUGCAUGGUUGUCGUCAGCUCGUGUCGUGAGAUGUUGGGUUAAGUCCCGCAACGAGCGCAACCCUUGACCUUAGUUGCCAGCAUUCAGUUGGGCACUCUAAGGUGACUGCCGGUGACAAACCGGAGGAAGGUGGGGAUGACGUCAAAUCAUCAUGCCCCUUAUGACCUGGGCUACACACGUGCUACAAUGGGUGGUACAAAGGGUUGCGAAGCCGCGAGGCCAAGCCAAUCCCAAAAAGCCACUCUCAGUUCGGAUUGUAGGCUGCAACUCGCCUACAUGAAGCCGGAAUUGCUAGUAAUCACGGAUCAGCAUGCCGCGGUGAAUACGUUCCCGGGCCUUGUACACACCGCCCGUCACACCACGAGAGUUUGUAACACCCGAAGUCGGUGGGGUAACCCUUUUGGGAGCCAGCCGCCGAAGGUGGGACAGAUGAUUGGGGUGAAGUCGUAACAAGGUAACC